GAUGAACGCUGGCGGCGUGCCUAAUACAUGCAAGUCGAGCGAACAGACGAGGAGCUUGCUCCUCUGACGUUAGCGGCGGACGGGUGAGUAACACGUGGUUAACCUACCUAUAAGACUGGGAUAACUUCGGGAAACCGGAGCUAAUACCGGAUAAUAUAUUGAACCGCAUGGUUCAAUAGUGAAAGACGGUUUUGCUGUCACUUAUAGAUGGAUCCGCGCCGCAUUAGCUAGUUGGUAAGGUAACGGCUUACCAAGGCAACGAUGCGUAGCCGACCUGAGAGGGUGAUCGGCCACACUGGAACUGAGACACGGUCCAGACUCCUACGGGAGGCAGCAGUAGGGAAUCUUCCGCAAUGGGCGAAAGCUUGACGGAGCAACGCCGCGUGAGUGAUGAAGGUCUUCGGAUCGUAAAACUCUGUUAUUAGGGAAGAACAAAUGUGUAAGUAACUAUGCACGUCUUGACGGUACCUAAUCAGAAAGCCACGGCUAACUACGUG
rnacentral:rRNA from 1 species